GACGAACGCUGGCGGCGUGCCUAACACAUGCAAGUUGAGCGACGAACCAGGGCUUGCCCUGGGGCAAAGCAGCGAACGGGUGAGUAACACGUGGGUAACCUACCCCGAUAACCGGGACAACCCGAGGAAACUCGGGCUAAUACCGGAUGUGCUCACUGGACUUCGGUUCAGUGCGUAAAGGAAGCUUCGGCCUCCGUAUCGGGAGGGGCCCGCGGCCCAUUAGUUUGUUGGUGAGGUAACGGCUCACCAAGACCGCGAUGGGUAGCUGGUCUGAGAGGACGAUCAGCCACACUGGAACUGAGACACGGCCCAGACUCCUACGGGAGGCAGCAGUGGGGAAUCUUGCGCAAUGCGCGAAAGCGUGACGCAGCAACGCCGCGUGGGGGAAGAAGGCCUUCGGGUUGUAAACCCCUUUCAGGAGGGACGAAGGUUCGGCGGUGAAUAGCCGUCCGGACUGACGGUACCUCCACAAGAAGCCCCGGCUAACUACGUG
rnacentral:rRNA from 1 species